rnacentral:rRNA from 1 species
AGACGGGGAACCCCGGCACAAGCGGUUGGAUGAUGUUGGAUUAAUUCGAUGCAACGCGAAGAACCUUACUACCCUUGACAUGUCCGGAACUUGCCAGAGAUGGCUUGGUGCCCGAAAGGGAAUCGGAACACAGGUGCUGCAUGGCUGUCGUCAGCUCGUGUCGUGAGAUGUUGGGUUAAGUCCCGCAACGAGCGCAACCCUUAUCAUUAGUUGCUACGCAAGGGCACUCUAAUGAGACUGCCGGUGACAAACCGGAGGAAGGUGGGGAUGACGUCAAGUCCUCAUGGCCCUUAUGGGUAGGGCUUCACACGUCAUACAAUGGUCGGUACAGAGGGUUGCCAAGCCGCGAGGCGGAGCCAAUCCCACAAAGCCGAUCGUAGUCCGGAUUGUUCUCUGCAACUCGAGAGCAUGAAGUCGGAAUCGCUAGUAAUCGCAGGUCAGCAUACUGCGGUGAAUACGUUCCCGGGUCUU